UACGAAGGGGGCUAGCGUUGCUCGGAUUUACUGGGCGUAAAGGGCGCGUAGGCGGUCGUGACAAGUCACUUGUGAAAUCUCCGGGCUUAACUCGGAACGGUCAAGUGAUACUGUCGGACUAGAGUACAGAAGGGGCAACUGGAAUUCUCGGUGUAGCGGUGAAAUGCGUAGAUAUCGAGAGGAACACCUGCGGCGAAGGUGGGUUGCUGGGCUGAUACUGACGCUGAGGCGCGAAAGCCAGGGGAGCGAACGGG
rnacentral:rRNA from 1 species